rnacentral:lncRNA from 1 species
AGAAUAAAUAAAAUACAUAUCGCAAUAAAGAAAUUAAAUUCACAUUAUUCGAGCAUCUAUCGCUGAAACAGCAAUAGACGAUAGAGUGUAGAUGUAUUACUGUGACUUAGAUCAUAAGGAGAAAGUUAUGAGCCGCUUGAGAAUAGAUCUAACUCGUCGAGUAUCAAAUAAAACCUCAAACAAUGUGAACUUAAUAGCAAGGAGAGCCUUUAAAAGAGAGUAUGAAAAAGAGCUCGAAGCAUAAUUCGAUGAACAUAUGUUACUUCGAAAUAUCAUACCUCUCUAUGCGUGACAUCUUGAGGGCUGGCCCAUCUUAUGUC